UACGUAGGGCGCAAGCGUUGUCCGGAAUUAUUGGGCAUAAAGAGCUCGUAGGCGGCCAGUUGCGUCUGCUGUGAAAUCCCGGGGCUCAACCCCGGGCGUGCAGUGGAUACGGGCUGGCUAGAGUGUGGUAGGGGAGACUGGAAUUCCUGGUGUAGCGGUGGAAUGCGCAGAUAUCAGGAGGAACACCGAUGGCGAAGGCAGGUCUCUGGGCCAUUACUGACACUGAGAAGCGAAAGCAUGGGGAGCGAACAGG
rnacentral:rRNA from 1 species